AUUGAACGCUGGCGGCAUGCUUUACACAUGCAAGUAGAGCGGUAACAGGCCUUCGGGUGCUGACGAGUGGCGAACGGGAGAGUAAUGCAUCGGAACGUACCCAGCGGUGGGGGAUAACGCAGCGAAAGCUGUGCUAAUACCGCAUGUGAUAUGAGGAUGACAGCGGGGGACCGAGCAGCAAUGUUUGGCCUCGCGCCUUUGGCGCGGCCGAUGUCGGAUUAGCUAGUUGGUGGGGUAAAGGCCCACCAAGGCGGCGAUCCGUAGCUGGUCUGAGAGGGCGAGUGCCCAGACUGGCACUGCGGCACGUCCCAGACUCCUAGGGGGGGCAGCAGGGGGGAAUUUUGCACAAUGCGCGCAAGCCUAAUCCAGCAAUGCCGCUUGCGGUAAGAAGACCUUCGGGUUGUAAACCGCUUUUGGCAGGAACGAAACGGUGUCCGCUAAUACCGGGCGCUAAUGACGGUACCUGCAGAAUAAGCACCGGCUAACUACGUG
rnacentral:rRNA from 1 species